rnacentral:rRNA from 1 species
GGUGCGUAACGCGUGAGCAAUUUACCCUCGAAUGGGGAACAACCUUGGGAAACCGAGGCUAGAACCGCAUAAGACCACGGCUCGGCAUCGAGCUGCGGUAAAAGACGGGGACCGCAAGGCCUGUCGCUUGAGGAUGAGCUCGCGUCCUAUCAGCUUGUUGGUGAGGUAACGGCCCACCAAGGCUUUUGACGGGUAGCUGGUCUGAGAGGAUGGUCAGCCACAUUGGGACUGAGACACUGCCCAGACUCCUACGGGAGGCUGCAGUCGAGGAUCUUUUGCAAUGCCCGAAAGGGUGACAAUGCGACGCCGCGUGUGCAAUGAAGGCCUUCGGGUCGUAAAGCACUGUCAGCCGGGAGGAAUCUCCGGUUCCAUAACAUGGCAUCGGGGCGACUGUACCGGCAGAGGAAGCCACGGCUAACUCCGUGCCAUCAGCCCCGGUAAUACGGAGGUGGCAAGCGUUACUCGGAUUGAUUGGGUGUAAAGGGCGUGUAGGCGGUGAAUUAAGUCGAAUGUGACAUCCCUUGGCUCAACCAAGGAACUGCAUUCGAAACUGAUUUGCUUGAGCGACACAGAUGAAGAUGGAAUUCCCGUUGUAACAGUGAAAUGUGUAGAUAUCGGGAGGAACACUCUGUGGCAGAAGGCUAUCUUCUGGGUGUCUUCUGACGCUGAAACGCGAAAGCUAGGGAGCAAACAUGAUUAGAUACCCUGUUAGUCCUAGGCGUAAACGAUGUGCACUAGGUGUCGAGUCCUUUGGGUUCGGUGCCGCAGUUUAAUACAUUAAGGUGGACGACCAAGCGGAGUACGGUUCGCAGGACUG